ensembl:lncRNA CHRM3-AS2 CHRM3 antisense RNA 2
UGAAAGUGUAUAUUUUAUUCACUUCCAAAACAGUUAGCUCAUAAUUCAGAACAUUGAGGUUUGCAAAAUGACUGAAGGAAACUUUACCUAAACAAUAGUUGCCAGUUCUGCUGAGAAUUAUCACGGGCCCACAACGGCUGUGUGUUUUUCCAUACAGAUAUUCUAAUUUUUUUAUUAUGCAGCUAAUUUUUUUUUAGACUCGCGAAUAAAAUAGCAAGUCAGUCUGUGCAUAAGCAUAUGUUUAAAUCUACCAGGAGAAAUGUCUGGAAUCUUUUUGGUUAUUAAAAUUAAAAUUCAGGAUAAUGAAAGGCAUAUGCAACUUAUUAUAUUCUUUAUAUAACUUAUUUCAUCUAAUCCUCCAAAUAGCUAUAUAACAUAUUUAUCCCCACCUUACAUAGAUGUUAACCAAAGUCUGUAAGGUUCGUUCAUUUGUCCACAGUUACCCAGAAAAUUGUUUGUGGAGCUCAGUACAAGGCUGACUGCCAGACUCCAAAGUCUAUGUUCCUUCUACUACCAUACAUUGCCUUUGUUUUUCUUUUAUAAAAGUUGAAAAAAUAUCAUUCUGCUUUUCCUACUUUUCCGAAAACUAUUUAUGAUGAUAAAUCCAGUUUUUUGUGUUAAGUUUCAAGAAGUUGGUGAAAUGGAGACAGCCAAUCCAACCCAGGAGACAGUGUUUGAAAACAGGGCUUCAGCUACUUGCAUGAUGUGGAUUGGGGAAAUGGUCUGUCCUCCUAGCCAUGGGAUGUCCCUGCUGUGUUCAGGAAUCUUUCCAUCUCUUGGAUUUUAAAG